rnacentral:rRNA from 1 species
AUUGAACGCUGGCGGCAGGCCUAACACAUGCAAGUCGAGCGGAUGAAGGGAGCUUGCUCCUGGUUUCGGGGGGGGAGGGGGAGGUAAUCCCUAGAAUUAUCCUUGGUAGUGGGGGAUAACGUCCGGAAACGGUGGGUAUUACGCCAUAGGUCCUGGGGGGAAACGUGGGGGAUUUUGGGACUUCACGCCUUUGGUUGAUCGUAGGUCGGCUUAGCUAGUUGUUGGGGUAAAGGCCUCUCAAGGCGACGUUCCGUAACUGUACUGAGGGGAGGAUCAGCAACACUGGAAGUUAGACACGGUCCAGACGCCUACGGGAGGCAGCAGUGGGGAAUAGUGGACAAUGGGCGAAAACCUGAUCCAGCCGUGCCGCGUGUGUGAAGAAGGUCUUCGGAUUGUAAAGCACGUUAAGUUGGGAGGAAGGGCAGUAAGUUAAUACCAUGCUGUUUUGACGUUACCAACAGAAUAAGCACCGGCUAACUUCGUG